UUCGUCCCAUCUCUCCAUCUCACGGAGCCGGAUCCCCUGACGUACGGCCACCUGACGUUGGGCCACUGACGCGUGGGUCCGGGUCCACACGUCAGCGAGUGCGCCGUACGUCAGAGGAGCUGCGUCCCCAUCUCACAUCUGCUCCAUGGCCGCCGCCCUCCUCAAACUUCCUGGCCGGCGCCGCCGCCCUAAAUCGUUCCGGCGCCGCUCGCCCUCCACUCUCCCGACCUCCACUACUGGUCGUCUCUCACCUCCACCACCGCCGCCCGGGUCAACCUGCAUCCGCCACCGACGCCCACCUUUAAUGUCUGUGACUUCCACCGUCGCUUGCCUGCAGCUCCGACCCUUGUUGCAUCCGCAUCCCACCUUCGUCGGACCACUCCGCCCAACACGGCUUUCCUGGACGCGAUGAUUGUACCCCGUGCUCCCUGCUCCAGAUCUGGGUAAGUCUGUUGUUGCACAUCCAGUAAACUGCCUGCUCCUCCUCGUCUGACGUGACAGCAGCGGCCUCCUCCUCUCCGUUUUGUCCAAGCCAGUUGAUCCAUUUUUCUGUGCUUGAAUCUGCCAUAUCAAGGAUCCUUUGUUGAAGCUGCAGCCACACUGGUACAACUUCUAUAUAUCGCCUCCCUUCACAAAUAAUUUUGGCAGUAAACGUUCAAUUUUAGAAGCAAGUUAGUCAUAUUUUAGUUAGCAAUGUAAGUAAUUAUUUGCAUAGUUGUGCCACUCUCUUUUAGGUUUUGUUUCUCAUCUUUAGAAGUCUUUGUAGUGGAAGGAAGGGCAAGGCAAAACCUGUCUCAGGUACCUUGUUGUUUGGAACAUGUCAUCCCUUGAGCUCGGCACCUGUUCGCAUAUGCCCUGUUCGAAGAGUGAGUCAGUGCGUGUCCGUGCUCUGUUUUACGCGCGCGUGUGUGUGUUUUGGUUCAGGUGCAAGCCCAUGGAUGCUGAAGACUAUGAGGAGUACAUACCUCUUCUUUAUGAAGUUCUCGCAGGUCAGCAACAUGAGGGCAAAAAGGGCAGGACCUCGUUAAGAAUGUCGUCCUAGUGGGCACAAGGUCGAACAUGAAGCUACCAGUGAGUAUUGUUUAAUCCUAUCCAUUAUUUUAUAAAGCACCAAGAUGUAGUAUAACAUCUAGUGAUUGCAUUGCUGCCAUAUGCCAUAUCUAAGAUUUACAAAGAAAAACUAAAUGAACAUCCUUUUUUAGUCCUUGAUUAGCUAAAUUAUCAUCAAGUGGACCAGAUUAUCUUUUGGAGCCACUUUAAAAUAUAAAAUAUAUGUUUCAUGGGGCUGUAGGAUAUAUUGUAUAGAUAUGCUAAAAGAUGAAACUUGAAAGAGUUAAGCGGAUAACAACUCAUAUGGUGAAAGAUGUUGGUCAUCAUCUCCUUCUCUUUCCAAUAUUAUUCCCGUUACUUGUGUACAUGACUUUGCAGGGAA